rnacentral:lncRNA from 1 species
UCUUAGUAAACACCUGCCCUCAUCGGAUAGUAUGUCUCUAAAGGUAGAUGUUGAGGCUCUUGAGAAUUCUCCUGGUGCUACGUACAUUCGGAAGAAGGGUGGAAAAGUUACUGGAGAUAAUCAACCAAAGGAACAAGGGUAAUGUUUUUCUAAUUCAAAGUCUGUAAAACAUUUCUAAGAUUGAUUUGAAAUUAUGUGAGAGAACUUGAU